UAUAGUUUAUUUGAUGUUGACUUACUACUUGGAUAACCGUAGUAAUUCUAGAGCUAAUACAUGCCAAAAAGACCUGACCGCACGGAAGGGUUGUAUUUAUUAGAUAAAAAACCAUUCUCGCAAGAGUUUUGUGGUGAUUCAUAAUAACUGUUCGAAGCGCAUGCCGCAAGGCGGCGCUAGAUCAUUCAAAUUUCUGCCCUAUCAGCUCUCGACGGUAGUGUAGUGGACUACCGUGGCAUUAACGGGUAACGGAGAAUUAGGGUUCGAUUCCGGAGAGGGAGCCUGAGAAACGGCUACCACAUCCAAGGAAGGCAGCAGGCGCGCAAAUUACCCAAUCCUGAUACAGGGAGGUAGUGACAAAAAAUAACAAUACCGGGCGUUUACACGUCUGGUAAUUGGAAUGAGUACAAUUUAAAUCCCUUGACGAGGAACAAUUGGAGGGCAAGUCUGGUGCCAGCAGCCGCGGUAAUUCCAGCUCCAAUAGCGUAUAUUAAAGUUGUUGCAGUUAAAAAGCUCGUAGUUGGAUUUCUGGUACGAUGCGCUUGGCCCGAGCGGUUCUGCCGUUCGUUGUGUCGACGUGCGUCUGCCAUCCUUUCCGGUAGCUCGGCGUGCUCUUAACUGGGUGCGUCCGCGGCCCGGAUCAUUUACUUUGAAAAAAUUAGAGUGUUUAAAGCAAGCGUUUGCUGUGAAUACAUUAGCAUGGAAUAAUAAUUUAGGACUUUGUUUCUAUUUUAUUGGUUUCUAGGAAUGAAGUAAUGAUUGAUAGGGAUCGUUGGGGGUGCUAGUAUUCAUCGGCCAGAGGUGAAAUUCUUGGAUUCGAUGAAGACUAACUAAUGCGAAAGCAUUCACCAAGGAGGUCUUCUUUAAUCAAGAACGAAAGUUGGGGGAUCGAAGACGAUCAGAUACCGUCGUAGUCUCAACCAUAAACUAUACCGACUAGGGAUUGGUGGAUGCUCUUCUUGGGCGCCAUCAGCACCUUAUGAGAAAUCAGAAGUCUUUGGGUUCUGGGGGGAGUAUGGUCGCAAGGCUGAAACUUAAAGGAA
rnacentral:rRNA from 1 species